AACGAACGCUGGCGGCAUGCCUAACACAUGCAAGUCGAACGAGAUCUUCGGGUCUAGUGGCGCACGGGUGCGUAACGCGUGGGAAUCUGCCCUUUGGUUCGGAAUAACAGUUGGAAACGACUGCUAAUACCGGAUGAUGACGAAAGUCCAAAGAUUUAUCGCCAGAGGAUGAGCCCGAGUAGGAUUAGCUAGUUGGUGUGGUAAAGGAGCACCAAGGCGACGAUCCUUAGCUGGUCUGAGAGGAUGAUCAGCCACACUGGGACUGAGACACGGCCCAGACUCCUACGGGAGACAGCAGUGGGGAAUAUUGGACAAUGGGCGAAAGCCUGAUCCAGCAAUGCCGCGUGAGUGAUGAAGGCCUUAGGGUUGUAAAGCUCUUUUACCCGGGAUGAUAAUGACAGUACCGGGAGAAUAAGCUCCGGCUAACUCCGUGCCAGCCGCCGCCGUAA
rnacentral:rRNA from 1 species